UCCCUGGUGGUCUAGUGGUUAGGAUUUGGCACUCUUACUGUCAUGGCCCAGGCUCGAUUCCUGGUCAGGGAA